rnacentral:rRNA from 1 species
ACGGGAGGCAGCAGUGAGGAAUAUUGGUCAAUGGGCGGAAGCCUGAACCAGCCAAGUCGCGUGAAGGAUGAAGGUAUUAUGUAUUGUAAACUUCUUUAGUCGCAGGGAAAUAAGGCGGACGAGUCCGCUGAUGCUAGUAUGCGAAGAAUAAGGAUCGGCUAACUCCGUGCCAGCAGCCGCGGUAAUACGGAGGAUCCGAGCGUUAUCCGGAUUUAUUGGGUUUAAAGGGUGCGCAGGCGGUCUUUUAAGUCAGUGGUCAAAUCGUGGGGCUCAACCCCAUCCCGCCAUUGAUACUGGAGGACUUGAUUGCGGUCGAGGUUGGCGGAAUUCGCCGUGUAGCGGUGAAAUGCAUAGAUAUGGCGAAGAACUCCGAUUGCGUAGGCAGCUGACCAAGCCGUAAAUGACGCUCAUGCACGAAAGUGCGGGGAUCGAACAGGAUUAGAUACCCUGGUA